UACGAAGGGGGGCUAGCGUUGCUCGGAAUCACUGGGCGUAAAGCGCACGUAGGCGGCUUUCUAAGUCAGGGGUGAAAUCCUGGAGCUCAACUCCAGAACUGCCUUUGAUACUGGAGAGCUUGAGUCCGGAAGAGGUGAGUGGAACUCCGAGUGUAGAGGUGAAAUUCGUAGAUAUUCGGAAGAACACCAGUGGCGAAGGGCGGACUCACUGGUCCGGUACUGACGCUGAGGUGCGGAAAGCGUGGGGAGCAAACAGGGAUUAA
rnacentral:rRNA from 1 species